AUGAUACACAACGGGGCUAAUAGGAAGUGCCAAGGCUCUCCGUUAGACGGGCUCUGGACAAUCACAACAACACGUGCAGAUCCUGCAGAUGAGAAGAUGACAGCUCUUAAUGUCACUUUAACAGCACAUAUUACAGCUCAACCGCAAAUAAAACCGACACAUAAAUGAGGGGACCGAGUACGGCACAAGACUCACCUGAAGAUGAUCUGCAGUUCCUCAGUCUCGAGGAAAGGGAGUGUUUUCUGUUCUUUGAGGAGACCAUCGGCUCCCUGGACUCACGGUGGGGCGUCCGGCCUCACACACACAAACGGCACGACAUCACAGCCCUGUAGAUCAUGACAUCAUUGACCUGGUCCACUUGGCCAAUUAUCGUGGAAUCUAGUGUUAACGCGGAAUUUCGUGGAAUUUUACAUAUUUGGUUUGAAAUUCAGUUUUUGUGCGAGAGAAGAACGUAUUUCUGCCGUAAGAGACCAGGGGAAGCAAAUCUGGACGACAUAAACCCCCCCAACCCGUCAUUUCAGCUCAAAUGAUGAAAUUAAAACAAUGAAAGCAUGUCGAAGCGGCUCUCCACGGCUCUGCUUUAGUCGGCGGAGAGCCAGCCUGCGUUCACAAGCUUCUAAUGCGAAGCAUAUGGUUUCGAGAUCCCACUAACUUCUAAACACUUAGAUUUGAAUAUUUGAAGAUAAUACCAUACCAAAUUUUGUCCUAUUACCUGAUGUUAGGGUUUCCCAAACCAGGGUUUGUGAAGGAAUUUCAGGGAGUGUCUAAGUUCAUGAAAAAUUAAUAGUUAGUUCAAUAAAAAAGUUAAAGAAAUUUAAAACCAUCUAAAACACUUAAUAAUGAUGCAAUGCUUUCUUUACUUGCAUUAUAUGACAUCAGAGAAAGAUGAACAUGCUAAUGUUAAAUUAUUGACUUAUGAGCUUCUUAAAAUUUCAGGGCAACUUCAAGCAAAUAAAUUACAUCGAAAGAGGAUUACUGAAAAAAAAGAUUAAUUAUGUUCGUCAGGAGCUGUAAUGUUGAGAAAAUACCAGUUAUUUCUGUAAAUCAAACUCUGAGAAUCAAUUUUAAAAGUAGCUAUAGUCUGAUUGUUUUUUUAAAGCACAAUUUAUUAGGUAAUUAAAUUACAUGUAAUCAGUUACUACCCAGCACUGACUUCAACUAAUCGUUCAUAUAUAUAUAUUCACAAAAACAAACAGCAUUACCUUGUUUGAAGAUGUUCAGAAGGGUUAGGGAUGUUCAACAGAUUUAUGUUUUAAGUCAACUAGCACUUGUUUAGACUGAGCUAGUUUUUUCUGCUUAGGAGUUUUGGUUAAAAACCAAUCAGACCUGAUAUCUUUAUCAAACACUAACUCAGGAUUCACAUUCAUCUCAAGCUCCACAUGCUGCUUUGGAAGCGCAUGGCCUGGUUUCAGCCAUCUUUACUUCAUGGUCACAUGGUUCCAGAACAUUGAGCCAUUCACCUGAGUCCUAAUUGUCAUGUGAUUAAUCACUCCAUAUUUGAACUCCUAAAACACUGUUAAGAUUCCUCCAUAAAGAUAAACAUAUGAAGAGAAGUGUCAGAACCGUGUCAUCUUCAGUGGCUCAGUGGUAGCGGUACCGGUUCCGAAGCGAGUGGUUAAGGGUUCUAUUCCAACUUCUUGUUGCGUUUAGACUCCGCUUCGGAAGAUAAACGUACGAAGAGAAGUAUCUCCGCUACCACUGAGCCUCUGAAGACGGCACGGUUCUGACGGUUGAAAGUCAGCGUGCCGAGUUGGUUUCAGAAGCGUGCCGUCUUCCAAAAAAAAAAAAAAAAAAAAAAAAACACUUAAACACUGUUAAAAUUCCUCCAUAAAGAUAAACGUACGAAGAGAAGUAUUAGAACUGUCUCGUCUUCAGUGGUGCAGUGGUAUAGCGGUACUGGCUCUGAAGCGAGAGGUUGCCGGUUCUAUUCCAGCUUCUUGUUGCGUUUAGGCUCCGUUUCGAAAGAUAAACGUACGAAGAGAAGUGUCAGAACCGUGUCAUCUUCAGUGGUGCAGUGGUAGCGGAACCGGCUCUGAAGCGAGAGGUUGCCGGUUCUAUUCCAGCUUCUUGUUGCGUUUAGGCUCCGUUUCGAAAGAUAAA